rnacentral:lncRNA from 1 species
CACAAGAUUGACCUGGUCCAGCCUCGUUAUACAUAGUGGCAUAGUGGUUACAAAAUUUUAAAAGAGAAUAGUAGAAAAGAAAACAGAAAAUCCGUGCUGGCAGGAUCACUCACACAUGGGUGCUUGGGUUGGUGCCUCCAUACCUUUGUGCUUGUGUGGGUAAGGGACUCUCACCAGCCUAGAACUCAAUGAGUAGGUGUGUCUCCACCUCCCCUGUGCUAUGAGUUCAAGCCACUAUAUAGGCUGUGACUAGGGGUAGAUUUAUGUGGGCAUGGAGGAGACAGACAUGGAAACAUCCUGUCUUAGAGCUUGCAAGGCUAGUGGUCCUGGCUAACCUAUUCCUCCCCAAGUUGCUCUUUCGCCAAACAAUGGCUCCCAUGUCUGUUCUGUUUCCCACUGCAAAGUGCCAAGAAAAAGCUCUAGUUUCCAUAGGCCAUAGAGAAAUGCCGUUCUCAGUCCUAUUCAGACAGAAAGCUAAACAUCCUCAAUUUCCUCCAAACUCUGUGCUUCCAAAUCAGCGGUUUUGAGAAGAACCAGACAGGAUAGCAGCAUGCUGCCCCCCAAGCCCUGUAGGAACUGUACUCCUGACACGUAAGAGGGAUCUUAAUUGGAGGAAGGAGGAGGAAAAAGAUAGAGGAUGGAGCUCAGAUUAUUCUAUUGUGCACCUAGAGCCCAUCACCUUUCCAUUUUAUCAAAUAUCUGCAUAGCAUUCUUGCUUACAGUUAUUAUCUUACUUGGGGGGGGGUGAGGUGAAACAAUUAUUUGUAAGGCUGUCAACUUUACAAAAGGAAAUGAAUAGUUAACAAAAAUCUACACGCUUGAUGAAUUUCCCUAUCUGGUCCUGAUGCGGCUGCAUGUCUGAAUGGCAGGCUGGGUUAUAAAUAGUUGAUGCUCUGGUCUGAUGUUGCAGCGCCUAAUGAAUUGUUGCUUCCAUAAACUUUUUAUGUGUUGCCGUGUCGAAGGGAACCAAUUAAAAAGUUUUGCCAAUUUGAAUCCUCUGCAUAAAGUAUCUUCUGCAAAGAGAUAAAUGUCUUUGAUGUCUUUGAAUGCUUGGUGAGCUAAAACUUUAUUCAAAUUAGCUUUGUGACAUCUUUAAAUAUACAUUCCUGGGGUAUUGUCAGCUCACAUUUAUCCUAAGUAUGUGGCUAUGAUUAAAUAAAAAUGAUUGACUGAACUUUUUUUGCCCUGCCACACCCUCACUUUCUCAACUAACGUUCCAAGACCAACUUUUUAAUUUCUGUUGAGUCUCCCUUCUAUUAAAUUUGUUUGUAUCUCUUAACAGUUUCAUUCUGACCUCUCUGGCAUCAUUGUGAAGAAAUACUUUGAGGAGGAAAAAAAAAAGCUGAUAGUUAUGUUUCAUGGAAGCCAAAGUUCUUCUUGCAAAUUAAAAUUACAUUCCACUUUGCUGAACACUAAGAAAAUCGGCUUUGGAAAAUUACCUCGGCCCUGAAGAUGCUGCAGCCACUUAACAGACAAGUCUCGCUCCUGUAAUGCACACGUCUGUGAGCACACACGCUUGGCUCUGACUCGAGCUGGACUAAACAAAAUCUCAUUAAUAGACUUGGCCUAAAGAAGCACUUGAAAAGACAACUAAUCGUGUUCUACAUGACUGGAAAUGUCACACAGAAAACAGAAGAGAAGUGAACUUUUGAACAAGGGCUUCCAUCAUAGGAUGGCACUUUCUUCCAAGAAAAGAAAGAAAGAAAAAUUCAGAUUGUGUCAAAGCUGGUGCUCCAACUCUUCUCGGGACUUGGCUCUCAUAUUUGACAAGCCAUUUUUAAGGCAAAGAGAGGGGGAGAAAAUAAAGAGGAGAAGGUGGCAGCAGGAAUGG